rnacentral:rRNA from 1 species
UAGACGUGGGGGCACCCUGACCGCAAUGCCGCGUGAGUGAAGAAGGCCUUCGGGUUGUAAAGCUCCUUUGUCAGGGAAGAAACACCGGCUCUAACACAGUCCGGGAAUGACGGUACCUGAAGAAUAAGCACCGGCUAACUACGUGCCAGCAGCCGCGGUAAUACGUAGGGUGCAAGCGUUAAUCGGAAUUACUGGGCGUAAAGCGUGCGCAGGCGGUUAUACAAGACAGGCGUGAAAUCCCCGGGCUUAACCUGGGAAUGGCGCCUGUGACUGUAUAGCUAGAGUGUGUCAGAGGGGGGUAGAAUUCCACGUGUAGCAGUGAAAUGCGUAGAUAUGUGGAGGAAUACCAAUGGCGAAGGCAGCCCCCUGGGAUAACACUGACGCUCAUGCACGAAA